rnacentral:rRNA from 1 species
AUUGAACGCUGGCGGCAUGCUCUACACAUGCAAGUCGAACGGUAACAGGCCGCAAGGUGCUGACGAGUGGCGAACGGGUGAGUAAUGCAUCGGAACGUGCCCAGUCGUGGGGGAUAACGCAGCGAAGGCUGCGCUAAUACCGCAUACGAUCUAUGGAUGAAAGCGGGGGACCGUAAGGCCUCGCGCGAUUGGAGCGGCCGAUGUCAGAUUAGGUAGUUGGUGGGGUAAAGGCUAACCAAGCCAACGAUCUGUAGCUGGUCUGAGAGGACGACCAUCCACACUGGGACUGGUACACGGCCCAGACUCCUACGGGGGGCAGCAGUGGGGAAUUUUGGACAAGGGGCGCAAGCCUGAUCCAGCAAUGCCGCGUGCAGGAAGAAGGCCUUCGGGUUGUAAACUGCUUUUGUACGGAACGAAACGGUCCUGGUUAAUACCUGGGGCUAAUGACGGUACCGUAAGAAUAAGCACCGGCUAACUACGUGCCAGCAGCCGCCGUAAUAC